CGCUCUGUGCUGGCUCCUGAUGGGGUCUGUUUGGAGAAUGAGCCCCGGAAACAGCAAUCUGUUCCUAGUGCCAGCAAUACCCUCACGCAGCCAGCUCUUCUUCACUAUCUCCAGAACUGGUGGGCUGCACAUGAGUACAUGCUCGGGUGGCCAUGCCUGUGUGACUAUGCCAGCACGUGACCCUCCACAGAGGAGCCUGACAUUGAGGGAACAGUGAACUGAUGAGGAUUAAGGACAACUUUAGUACCACCUUUGAGACCCUCUCACACCAUCUCCAUGUCUGCACAGGACACAGGAUCCAGUGGUAACUGUAAGGUCAGGAAAGGAGCCACAGUACUGACCAGCAGGAACCCUGUGGCAAUAGUCUCUGAAGUAGCCAUUGUGUCUUAGGGUGGGUUGGGAAGGAAACAGCCAAAGUGAUCAACACGAUCUUUCCUGCUCUCUGGAAAACAGAGCAGUACCUGAAAAUGCUGGGGACAAGAGCCAUCCCUCAGGGAGAGCUGGUGAGCAUCCUCAAGGCCCACUUGGUAAAACAGUUGAAGGAAGAGCUGCUCACCACUGACAACCCCCCACCCCCGCUGGCCAACCACUGCUCUAUUCUGCCCUGGCUGUCACCACAGUGACCUUGGACCACCUCCUGAUCAGUCCUCCUGUCUUCCGCUAGGACCACACAUGACUCUCCCCUGACUCGGAACUUGCCCAGGGUCUCCCUAACUAGUUCUUAUGCUUGCACAGAAAACACCAACCUCCUAACGAAAGUGCACAAAUUGUCAGGAACAGAAAAACCCAUAUAAGUCAGCCUAGAAAAGACCCUGAGGCAAGCAGCAGUAAACAGCACCGAUAAGCAGAAGCUGAACUACAGCAAGUAACCCUGCCAACCAACAAGAAGGAACUGGAAAGGGCCAUGAGAGCUGCCAGCCCCGGUUAUGGAGCCUGCUCUACUCUCGGACUGCAGAUCAGUGCUAACUAGGAGAUAACCGGAUUAAAGAGAACAUUUGCAUGGCCAAGUACUGCUGUUGGAUAGAGACCUGUGAGCAGUUAGGAAUGCUCAGAGCCCAAGAGGCCAAAGACUAAGAAACCAGCUGAUCCCAGAAGAGAGAGGGGACCACUUGUGCUGCCCCCUGAGGCCCUGGCUUGUAGCUGACCUUGCACUGUGCUAGCCAUAUUAAAAAAAACAAAAAAAAGAAUGGAUGUGGAGGAGACUCCAACCUGGUAGAGUAUGUAUGGUGAGAGAGAAGGAUGCUGUCCUGAACUUGGGGCCUACAGAAAUCAAUGCCAUGGCCUGGCCCUCAGAAUCAGGAAAGUACGCAUGUAAUAGUGUGACUAGAACAGCAGCAGCAAGGACAACCAAAGGUGGGACAAAGGUGAACACUGGUGGGCCUGAGAGUUCCAGGCUGAGACAUUUGAGGAAGGCCAAAAAUGAAGAUGAAUUUUAGAUGUUUAUUUUUUGGAGCAAGGUCUCAUUCUGUAGUCCAGGCUGGCCUUGCUGAUCCUCCUGCCUUAGUCUCUGGAGUACUAGGGUUACAGACAUUUGUCACCAUACCCAGUUAAAUUCUUGGUUUUGAUAAAUAAAUUCUAUAUUUUAAAGUAUCCAUUAUGGAAGCUGAAUAAAUUCCAAUUUAUAGUUGGGGAAUAUAGUCAAAAAUGGGCCCAAAAGGAGGAAAAAUAUGGCUCAUUCCUAAAAUUCUAGACAGAGUGCAAAGGUGGCAAAACUAUGUUCAAACACAGUAUAAUUAUAAUAAAUGCAAAUGAACCGGUGGCCUAGCUAAGAAUAAGGUCAUAGGCAAGGUAUCUGGGGACAGGAUCCCACUAUGCAGCCAGGGUGCCCUUAAGCUUACAGAGCUCCACCUGCCUCUGCUCGGGGUGCUGCAGUGAAAGGGGUGCACCAGCACACCCAGAGUCCGGCAGUGUUUUUAAAGAUGCAGACCCAGCUGCAGACAGCUGCAGAUAGCAAUGGCGGAACUGUGACAGCCAUAGCCUGGCGAUGCCAUAGCUGUCAUCACAGAAGUCCACUCUACGGGGUUAGCAUGACAAAACAGCCUGAUCAUACACAUCUUUGGAACGUAUGCUCCUUGUUAAAUACUAUGUGACUUCACAAAAGGACAAGGAAUUCAGAGGGCCACGAGUAGAAAGACGCUGGGUGGCUCACUGGUGCUGGCAGGAUCCCUCCUUUAUACAGACAAGGGGACUCCAGAAUUAGUCCAUGGCCUCGCAGACAGAGAGUAAAGGGCCAGACUUCAAAAGAGAAGCGGGAUCUACAACUGUGAUUGGCAGGAGGCUGUGACCCAGCUAACCAGAACCCAUCUAGUGGGUGCAGAGAAUGCUGUUCUUAGGAAGCAAGACACUGCUUCUUUGAGCAGCUCAUGGGGCAUUUCUGAAACUGACCACAUACCAGGGGACAAAGUGAGCUCCCAACAAAUGUCAGAAGACUGACGCUACCCUACCAAGCUCCCUCCCAAUUCAAAGACAAAAAGAGUGAACCGAGCCAAAAGAAGACAACAAAUAAAGGCCUCCCAGUCAAGAAGCCAAGAG